GGUUGUGUAGUGUAGUGGUGAGCACUCCGGAUUUUGAUCACAUCAAAAUCGAACACUAUUUCCGGCAACCCCGGUUCGAUCCCGGGCACGACCU